UAGUAACAUCGGCAACGCUGAUUUGGUUGCAUGCAGCUCAGACGCGUUUUAAACUCGCAAAGGUGAAGUACGCAUGCGCGACGCUCUUGCUCGAUUAGCGGUGAUGUGGAUAUGAAUUAAACGCAAAUAAAUUAAAAAAAAUGAAAAUUAAAUAACUAAAUACGUACAUACAUACAUAUCAGGUCAGCUACUACAUAAAUAAGUGUUCUGAUGGCUCAUCAAAGUCAGGUGCUCAGCUGUAAAUUGUGUGAACGGCUUUCUUAAAU